rnacentral:rRNA from 1 species
UACGUAGGGGGCAAGCGUUGUUCGGAAUUACUGGGCGUAAAGGGCGCGUAGGCGGCACGGCAAGUCAGGAGUGAAAGGCCUGGGCUCAACCGAGGAACUGCUUUUGAGACUGCCGAGCUAGAGUGCAGAAGGGGCAACUGGAAUUCCCAGUGUAGCGGUGAAAUGCGUAGAUAAUUGGGAAGAACACCUGAGGCGAAGGCGGGUUGCUGGGCUGACACUGACGCUGAGGCGCGAAAGCCAGGGGAGCAAACGGG